rnacentral:rRNA from 1 species
UACAGAGGGGGCAAGCGUUAUUCGGAAUUAUUGGGCGUAAAGGGCGCGUAGGCGGCUUGGCAAGUGGAAGGUGAAAUCCCUCGGCUUAACCGAGGAACUGCCUUCCAGACUGCUUUGCUUGAGGCCGGGAGAGGUAAGUGGAAUUCCCAGUGUAGCGGUGAAAUGCGUAGAUAUUGGGAGGAACACCAGUGGCGAAGGCGGCUUACUGGACCGGUUCUGACGCUGAGGCGCGAAAGCGUGGGGAGCAAACGGG